rnacentral:rRNA from 1 species
GAUGAACGCUGGCGGCGUGCCUAAUACAUGCAAGUCGAGCGAACAGACGAGGAGCUUGCUCCUCUGACGUUAGCGGCGGACGGGUGAGUAACACGUGGAUAACCUACCUAUAAGACUGGGAUAACUUCGGGAAACCGGAGCUAAUACCGGAUAAUAUAUUGAACCGCAUGGUUCAAUAGUGAAAGACGGUUUUGCUGUCACUUAUAGAUGGAUCCGCGCCGCAUUAGCUAGUUGGUAAGGUAACGGCUUACCAAGGCAACGAUGCGUAGCCGGCCUGAGAGGGUGAUCGGCCACACUGGAACUGAGACACGGUCCAGACUCCUACGGGAGGCAGCAGUAGGGAAUCUUCCGCAAUGGGCGAAAGCGUGACGGAGCAACGCCGCGUGAGUGAUGAAGGUCUUCGGAUCGUAAAACUCUGUUAUUAGGGAAGAACAAAUGUGUAAGUAACUAUGCACGUCUUGACGGUACCUAAUCAGAAAGCCACGGCUAACUACGUG